rnacentral:rRNA from 1 species
UACGUAGGGUGCAAGCGUUGUCCGGAAUUAUUGGGCGUAAAGAGCUCGUAGGCGGUCUGUCACGUCGGCUGUGAAAAUCCGAGGCUCAACCUCGGACUUGCAGUGGGUACGGGCAGACUAGAGUGUGGUAGGGGAGACUGGAAUUCCUGGUGUAGCGGUGGAAUGCGCAGAUAUCAGGAGGAACACCGAUGGCGAAGGCAGGUCUCUGGGCCAUUACUGACACUGAGAAGCGAAAGCAUGGGGAGCGAACAGG